ACACAUGCAAGUCGAGCGGUAGCACAGAGAGCUUGCUCUCGGGUGACGAGCGGCGGACGGGUGAGUAAUGUCUGGGAAACUGCCUGAUGGAGGGGGAUAACUACUGGAAACGGUAGCUAAUACCGCAUAAUGUCGCAAGACCAAAGUGGGGGACCUUCGGGCCUCAUGCCAUCAGAUGUGCCCAGAUGGGAUUAGCUAGUAGGUGGGGUAACGGCUCACCUAGGCGACGAUCCCUAGCUGGUCUGAGAGGAUGACCAGCCACACUGGAACUGAGACACGGUCCAGACUCCUACGGGAGGCAGCAGUGGGGAAUAUUGCACAAUGGGCGCAAGCCUGAUGCAGCCAUGCCGCGUGUGUGAAGAAGGCCUUCGGGUUGUAAAGCACUUUCAGCGGGGAGGAAGGCGUUGAGGUUAAUAACCUUGUCGAUUGACGUUACCCGCAGAAGAAGCACCGGCUAACUCCGUGCCAGCAGCCGCGGUAAUACGGAGGGUGCAAGCGUUAAUCGGAAUUACUGGGCGUAAAGCGCACGCAGGCGGUCUGUCAAGUCGGAUGUGAAAUCCCCGGGCUCAACCUGGGAACUGCAUUCGAAACUGGCAGGCUAGAGUCUUGUAGAGGGGGGUAGAAUUCCAGGUGUAGCGGUGAAAUGCGUAGAGAUCUGGAGGAAUACCGGUGGCGAANGCGGCCCCCUGGACAAAGACUGACGCUCAGGUGCGAAAGCGUGGGGAGC
rnacentral:rRNA from 1 species